AGUUUGAUCCUGGCUCAGGACGAACGCUGGCGGCGUGCCUAAUACAUGCAGGUCGAGCGCAGGAAACUGACGGAACUCUUCGGAGGGAAGGCAGCGGAAUGAGCGGCGGACGGGUGAGUAACACGUAAGGAACCUGCCUCAAGGAUUGGGAUAACUCCGAGAAAUCGGAGCUAAUACCGGAUAGUUCAUCGGACCGCAUGGUCCGUUGAUGAAAGGCGCUCCGGCGUCACCUUGAGAUGGCCUUGCGGUGCAUUAGCUAGUUGGUGGGGUAACGGCCCACCAAGGCGACGAUGCAUAGCCGACCUGAGAGGGUGAUCGGCCACACUGGGACUGAGACACGGCCCAGACUCCUACGGGAGGCAGCAGUAGGGAAUCUUCCACAAUGGACGAAAGUCUGAUGGAGCAACGCCGCGUGAGUGAUGAAGGUUUUCGGAUCGUAAAACUCUGUUGUAAGGGAAGAACACGUACGAGAGGGAAUGCUCGUACCUUGACGGUACCUUACGAGAAAGCCACGGCUAACUACGUGCCAGCAGCCGCGGUAAUACGUAGGUGGCAAGCGUUGUCCGGAAUUAUUGGGCGUAAAGCGCGCGCAGGCGGCCUUUUAAGUCUGAUGUGAAAGCCCCCGGCUCAACCGGGGAGGGCCAUUGGAAACUGGAAGGCUUGAGUACAGAAGAAAAGAGUGGAAUUCCACGUGUAGCGGUGAAAUGCGUAGAGAUGUGGAGGAACACCAGUGGCGAAGGCGACUCUUUGGUCUGUAACUGACGCUGAGG
rnacentral:rRNA from 1 species